rnacentral:lncRNA from 1 species
GUUUUUAAAAACAAGUGAUAUUUGAUAUAAAAAUUGCAGGAAAACAAUUAUGCUGGUUUAUGUUAUGUUGGAAUAAUUCACUUGUUGUUACCCAGCCUGUUAGUAUAAUUGGGCACAUUGCAACUUAUGGAAGGUCUCUACUGCCAGCCUCUUUUCUGUAAUUCAUUAGCAUCAAGUUUCUGCUUUAACCUAUAACUUAUUAAAACUACAGAUCUUCAUAAUUUCAGUGGAGAGUCCCCAUGCUGAACAAUAAAAGCCUUGGAAUCCUUUAUCCUGUGGACUGAGAUGGAGAGAGAAAGUGAUGAUGCAAGGCAUGGGGAUGGAAGGUGAAACAUCAUCUGGGUUUGUUAAAGGACAUGACUGCUGCAUAUGUCAGUAUUUUGGUCCCUAUCAGUAUUUUGGUCCCAGCAACAGUGGAUUCCAGCUUGUCUGGUCAAUAGGCCUGAAAUAGUCACUUACUACAGUGCUCCUAGGUGUAAAUUAUUUUCAAAUCAGAUUGGUCUCAGUAACACAAAUCGCUAUGUGUAGCCCCUAGCUUGGUUUUCAAUCUUUGUAUAAUCCAGAUGGAUUCUAUUUACAGUCAAAUGAUGAGGAGCAGUAUCUGUCUAGGGUGUGACAUUGUGUGCUAGGAUGGACCUAUGAACAGCAUCAUGGAAAGGGACUUUAUUCAGACAGAUGCUGAGGAAAGGAUGCAGUGUAUGGUUGGAUCUGAGGAACUUAUGGUUCCUGAGAUCAGGGGGCCCUUAGCAGCCAUGCUGUUCUCAGCCUUCUCAUUCCACCACACUGAACCAAUUUCAGCUCUUUAGCAGAUUUUGGCUUUGCUCUGCUUGUUGUAUCUGGGAGGGGAGAAUAAGAGAGACAGUGCACAUUGUGCAUAGGACUUUACUCUGAGGGACCUCAGGGAGAAGCCAGUGGGUAGACUUCUGGAGGGCUAUGGGAAUUUGUUGGCAUCAGAAAUGCAGAAAGGACUGCAAUGGGACUUCAAAAGAAGUUAUUGGUACCACAGAAGAAAUCCACUCACAAAUCCACUUCAGCGCAACGUUGAGCAACAUGGAAUUGGUUUAUCCUAUUAGAUUUGCCCUAAAGUGCCUACAGACUCUUGUAUGCCAUCUGGAGAAUGCUUGGAAUUGGAGGAGAAAUGCAGGAGGAAAAGAAAGAGAGAUAUUCCCUAGAGAAAUAGAGAGAAAAUGUUUGAAUCCAGAACGAAGACUUCAUCAGUAUCAUGGAGUAUUUAAACAUCAGUUUUGACAAGCAGCCACUAGAGGUCAGAUGUGUUUUUAAAUUAACAAAACUUAUUUCUCCAUUUUAUCAUAUUUUUAUGUAUUUCUAUUUCUUUUUGGUCCCA